UAUUGGGUUGACCAAAAGUUCAUUCAGAUUUUCCUGCAAGAUCUUACAGAAAAUCUUGAAUGUACUUUCUGGUCAACCCAAUA
ensembl:miRNA